ensembl:lncRNA
AUGCCCAUAGGUCUGUUGUAGCUACCUCAGCAGAGAAGUGAAGAAAACAAUCCAGGGUCUUAACUGUUCCCACCACAUCCUGGGAACCAGAACCUGAAUUCUCCAGUCAACAGCCCCAAACAGCCCUACAGCUACAGUGGGAGGUGCCCCCCAUUCCCAGGGAAGUUCUCCCAACAGAGGCUUCACCCACCUCACCCCACCCCACCGGGCAGGGCAGCCAGCUGGGGGGAGACUGGCAGGAACUGGACCUUAAAAAGCUUCCCAAGUGGUUGAGGUGCCACCAUGUAUGGAGAAUAGAUGUGAAAUCAAAGUCCUGCAGGUAGAUUAGGGCUGGCCUUGCACUUUCUGCUCAAAAAGGUCAAUCAAGGGGACACAGCUCUCCAACCUGAAGACUCCUCAAGUGAAACCCCCUGUGAAGUCAAAUCUGGCUCAUCUCUUGAGAACCUUUACAGAACUGGUUCACUCUGUCCUCAAGGGUUGAUAGAAAGGAAGAACAAAAGUAGAGAACGUCUGCAUCUCUCCUAACAUCGCUGAAUUCAUCAGUGCACCUCCCUCUAGAGGCCACGUGAGUACUGGCUCAGUUAAGCAAACAUUUCUGCGGGAAUGCUGACCGCAAAGGCUCCAGGGCUGCAGCCUAUUUGCGACUGAGGUCAGUUUCCCCUUCAACUCAGGUCUGCAACACUUCUCUAUCAUUGUUUUUCUCACUUUAUUUCUUGGCUCACAGAAUUUCAUUCUUAACGGGCUACAUUUUUAAUAUCUGUUUGCUUUAACCGACUUUGAACUCUUUAUGAAAUAGGUAACAUUUGCAUAUAGCAAAUUAAUUUUUCAGGGCCCCACUUAUCAUCAUAAAAUUAUGAAUGGAAAAUAAUCUAUGAAAAACAAACACAUGGUAAGUUUAAUACAGUAAAUAUUUAUUAAGGUCAGGAUGCAUGAACAGAAAGAUAAUUUAACAGAAAUCAAUUUGGAGUUUACAGCACUAUCACAUUUUAGCAAACUGAGGACAUUAGGUACACUAUGGUGAUUUGUUUCUAAAAAUCCACUAAAUGAUCUAUUACCUGUGCAUAAAGUAUUGUAGAUGUAGUUAAGGAAGUCAGUAGGAAAAGGUGUAACCUCCCUCCCCCUCUCUCUGCCCAUCCAUCUUCCAGGAAGCCACAGGCUGCUGCUGACCAGACUUGGCACGAGACCUUGAGGCUGCUGCUUUUCCCCCUACAUCAUAACCGAUUUCAAAUGGUGCUAGACAAAAACAGACUCUGAACACCAGGAGAAAUCGGUCAGCCUGUGUAAGAGAUGGGUCCGGUGGUGCUCAGUGGGGUCCACACCUUGAUGGUACAGGUGGCAAGUCUGAUUUCACCUACUCAGCAACUGCAGCUGAAUGUUCCACGGCGCGUAGGAGCAGGUGGACAGUGCUGGUGUGAUGAGAGAGUCCUUCCGGUCCACGGCCCUCCCACUGCCGACUGCGAUCACGUACCCAACCCAGUGCUGCCCAGUCACACACUGAAAGGCCCCACCAACAGGUUCCUGCUGGUGGCUGCUGCUACCUGUCCAUAGGAAGACCAUCACAAACCCUGGCUCUGCUCAAGCCUCUGAGUUUCUACUGAACACAGCCCCAUCCCUGCACUGUCCCCCUUUCCCAACCCAACAUGUUCAAGAAUAUACUUUUCUUCUCAAAUUCUUCUUUUCUUGAACCAGCUCAGUUGGCAGGAGAGGGGAGCUAGUCCCAGGGCAGCAGCUCCUCUGAAGGUGGCCUUUGGCUGUGCUGCAAUUCUUACUCCUAAAACACUGAUUUCAAAUGGUGCUAGAUACAAAGAUGGAAAAAUCUAAGCCACCAUGUGAAACCAGCUUCCAGAAGAAGAGGAUCUCACUGAAGAAAGGAGGGAGAUGCGAUCAGAAGACCCAGCCUUUGCCUGAGCAAAAAGAUGUCUUACUGCAGUUAUACUUGCCACGGGACAUAAGGGUCCCUUCAAAAGGCACAGAGAAGAGUUACAAAGUGAUGCUCAAAGAACAUGAAAGUCAAAGCUGGAAACAAGCACCCUUUCUGCCUGGGAGGCGCUGACGACUACACACAGGUGGGUUUCACCUGGACCAGGGCGACUCGCCCACAGACCCUGGUGAGGAAGACCACGGGCUCGCCCUUCCCCAUCACAGAUGAGCGGUCAGGACGUUCAAGUAUGACCCCGUAAGCCACCAAUCUUAUUCUCUACUGGGUCCUAAAAUUGUAUUAAGUAGACAACUCUCUAAUACAAGAAUGGACUUUUGUGUUCAAAUUCAGCUUGAAAAUAAGAUGUGCGCACAGGGUUCAAAUCAGACUUCCAUCUCCUAUGGGUGAAGCUAAGAAAGUAUGUCUGUAUUUCCUGAUACCAUAACCGAGAGAAAGAAGAGACAAAAUCUUUACCUCUCAGGUUCCCUACCAACUCUUCAAGACUCCAGAUAAAAACGUUGUUUUUUCUGCCUCCUGGAAAUAACGUGACGUGCUGCUCUAGGGAAGAGAAGGAAAUAAAAUGCGAACACCGAGCUGUGCUCUUCAAUUCUCACCACGAACCAGAGAUUAUUCCUGUUUUUGCAGAAGAAACUGAUCCUCAGUGUGGUUUAGAAACCUGUCCACAGUCACAUGACUGGUGAGCCGGGUCCAAGCUGGGUCUGACCCCAGCGUCUGCGCUCCUGCCCCUCUGCCCACCGCGCCUGCUUUGUGGUUUGCGACUGUCUCCCUCUGCCCUUGCCCCUGAUUAUGAGCAAGACUGAGGGCAGGUGGGAAUCCUAGGCAGUGCUUCUGCAUAGAUGGCGGGGUGUUGCUGACUGUCCAGCGUGUUAAACUUGGGUGGAGAUGGGAGCACACCCGGUGCUUUGACACUGGUUUCGUUCUCCCUCAAGCCGUGCCUGCGUGGUCUCCACUGCGUGGCUGCGGCGGUGAGGAAGACGCUGGGGAGGAAGGCCCUGCAGCACCUUGGUGGACGCCUCUGCAACCUGUGAGGCUCUGCAGGGCCUCAGUCACAGACGGGGAGUCUGGGCCAGGCAGGGGUCGGCACUGCCUGCGGGGAAGGGCUCUAAGUAUGGGCACCUGCGGUCAACAGCAGAGGUGGGGUCAGUGGGGUUGGGGUGUGAAUCAGGUCAUCACUGAGGCUUAAGGUCAAGACUGAGAGUGAGUCAUGACUACAGGAUACGAAUAAAAUAUAAAAGGAGGGGCUGAAGGAGAUCUGCAUUUGGCAAUUCUCAGCUUUGCUGCUUUCUGCUGCAGCCGAACUCUUCUUCCUUAGUGACGUCCAGCUGCCACUAUCCACCCCCUUUCCGAAGGUAUUACAGGAGUCUUUUGGUGACCCAGAAUGUCUCCCCCCCUUCCAGAAGGCCUCUCUGCACAUGCCGCUCCCUCUU